AUUGAACGCUGGCGGCAGGCCUAACACAUGCAAGUCGAACGCGUGGCGGACGGGUGAGUAAUGUCUUGGAAACUGCCUGAUGGAGGGGGAUAACUACUGGAAACGGUAGCUAAUACCGCAUACCAUUAUCUGUGCCCUGAUGGGCUUAGCUUGUUGGUGGGGUAAAGGCUCACCAAGGAGACGAUCCCUAGCUGGUCUGAGAGGAGGACCAGCCACACUGGAACUGAGAAACGGUCCAGACUCCUACGGGAGGCAGCAGUGGGGAAUAUUGCACAAUGGGGGCAAGCCUGAUGCAGCCAUGCCGCGUGUAUGAAGAAGGCCUUCGGGUUGUAAAGUACUUUCAGCGGGGAGGCGUUACCCGCAGAAGAAGCACCGGCGAACUCCGUGCCAGCAGCCGCGGGAAUUC
rnacentral:rRNA from 1 species